UUUCUUUCUUUCUUCUUUUCCUUUGUCCAGAAUAAAGGUAAAGGCUGUUUCAGCUGCUACGUAUGUUUAUCUAUCAGAUUAUAUUGGUCUGGAUUGGCUGUACUGAAUUUGUAUAUCCAAAUUCACCAUCCUGAUAUGGUGAACCCAAUAUGGUAAAUCCUGUAUUAGUAAGCUAAAACACCCAACACUUAUUAACUAGUAUGGGACUGCAGGCCGAUACUUUAAACCCUGUUUAACCAUCACACUAAAACAUUUAAUUACAGCCAAAAAUCUGUAGCACAAAACAGGAUUGCAAGAAUAUCAAGGACUUUUUGACAUUUAUGCAACAUGGCUAGUAAAGGAAGAAAAAAAUGAUGAAUGGCAGUAAGAAUGGAGUUUCAAGGAGACAAUUUGACGUGCAACAGAACCAAAGUUGUGAGCAUUAAGAUGGGAGAGACUAUAAUUCUUGAUGAUGAAGCUUAUAAUCAUACUAUCAUAUCCACCAUAUCAUCUCGCAUUGGCUGAGGAUGAACUUAGUGACAGUACAAGUCCAUAGCUCAAGUAUUUAACAACCUAUAAUUCAAUGAUUCGCACCAUUUGAAUCAUGAAUUCAUUUAAAUAACACCACAGUGUAAGCAAGACUUCCAACAUUAUGAUACAGGCCAUGCAAUACUAG
rnacentral:misc_RNA from 1 species